UAGUUACCUCUAUUCCAUAUUCAGUUCCAUGUCUUAUGGCAGUUCCAUAUUCAUUUACUUAAUAUAAAUUCACAAUCAGUUCUUGCGCUUCUGUAUACCAUUGCUUUUGACAUCUGAAAACAGUAAUACCAUAAAUACCAAACAAUAUUCUGUACAAGUUUGUUAUUAAAUAGUUUAGCCAAUGUUUCAUAGCUUUUGUAGCUGUGAUCUUGUACUUCUCUACACUGCUACAGCUAUCAUGAUUGAUGGUUGCUAAAAGUAGAAAAAUUGUAUUCAUCAUUAUCGGCGCCGUUUUCUAUCAAUGGAUUUUUCCAGAAGGAACAGAAUUCAUUUAUUUUCAUGUUAUACUGUGCUACAAUGUAUAACAGAGUUACAAUAGCCUCGUAGAAGAUGCAGGUAAGAAUAACACCUGGGAUACCUUCCUGAGCGAAAACGGGCGUCUGCCAGUUCGUUCGUUUGUUUUGAUAUUGGAUAUCCUGACAAUUGAGGGAAGUUCUACGUCGACUGUAAGGAAGCGAAGGUGAGAUCGUAUCCUCGUUUUAUGUAAUCCGAGCGUCAACUUUCAUUUUGUCAAGAGCCUCUGGGUCGUGCGCGUUAUACCAAUAGUAUAUAUACAUAAAGUGGAUACAAUACUAUAGCCUGAGAAAAAAAAGAGACAGUCAGAUAAUACUGCGCGGUGACUUACGACGUGUCGUAAAAAAAAUCCGACUGAACAUCGUUAAAUGUCUAACUGAAGAAUCAUUCAAGUAUUGUUACAGUGCCCCUGCAGUACCGCCACCCGAAUUCACCGCGUUCAGCUACGUCCCUGGGGCAUAGAGAUAGGACCGCCCCUGCCGAAGAGGUAGGCGUACACCGUUUCUGCUCUAAAGUGGCGCAAACGACCAGGGCUGGUGAACAUAACUACCGUGCGACGAAGAAGUUCCUCCCCACGUAGUGAUAGACGAUGAUCUACGACACAUGAAACACAACACAGAUCAGAAUUCAUUGUGGUAUCAGCAUUGACCAGGAUGUUAUGGUGAAAGUGAAUCGGACUCUCGUAUUGGUAACCUGGGUGGAAUUCGAUGCACCGUGUGGAACCCGGAUAAAGAGGAAUAAAAAGGCAAUUGCCAAGGAGCACGGUACAAAGUGCGUUCUUGGUUCUGAUAAAAUGCCUAAGAUGGACGUAUGGAAGGAGGAUGAGUAAAUUAAUAAAAAGUGGUGAGCGUAGAACGGGUUGCCCUGGUGGACGGGCAUCAUCGCGUAGCUACCCAGGAGGACUCGCGAGGAAGAGAAGACAGACAGAUAGGCAGCCAAGCAGGCGUGCUCGCGCGCGCAUGGACCAAGAUAAUAAAUAAAGUAAAUAGAGGAUGUAUAUAGGAGGUAAAUAAAUAAAUAAAAGAAAAAUUCACAGAGCAGAUCAGUGGGGAUGAGAUACGGAGUUGAAGGAGGAGCAAAUUCUCUUGGUCGGAACGAGAAUCUUGCCUGGAGAAAAUAAAGAAUGGAACAAGAGAAUAAGAGAGAGAUAGGGAUAGAGAGAAGAUACUGAUAAGUAUAUGUACAUGUGUGUGAUGUGCGCGCGCGUUCUACAUGAUCUCUGUUUGCCUUGAUUUCUUGGUGGGGCCCGGCUGGCUCUCUCUGUUGGCCAGGUCGGUGCCAGGGAGUCUACCGAUACCAGCUGUGCACCGGUAGACUGCUUGCCUCUGGCACUCGCGCCGGUCGGGACCCUGGGACCGGUUAUACUUGACCCAGCGGUUUAUACUCGCACACGGGAGACCGGAUCGGACCGCUACCGAAACACCAGGCCGCCCCGAUCCUGAUGCCGAUGCAGUCGUCUCGA